AAAAUAAAGCGAUAUUUAAUUGCAUUCAGUUUCGGCCUGAAGUUAGAGUUAUCUAUUUUU
rnacentral:tRNA from 1 species